GGUCAUAGGAAAAAAAAUAUCGCAAAUGGUAGUUCACAAACCAGUAGUUGACGUGACGGUGGCUACGUCCAUUAUUUUUUUUACAGUCGAUGUUUGUUUGUUUUUUUUAGAUUUUUUUAAACGACACUUUUAUGUUGAAGCACAAAAGAGAAGAAAGGUUUCCGGUUUCGUUUGUUGUUGUCUUGUUCUGUUUCCGGUGUGGAUGCAGCCGCAGCUGUUUAUGGUUCCAAAAUGACCAAACUGCAGCUGCUGAACGCCUACCUGACGGAGCGGCUGACGGCGGUGGUGAAGGAGAUCUUAGACGUGGUGGAGGACACGGUGACCGAGUACCGGGAGGAGACCGCCAGAACCAAGCGGGAGAACGAGAGCCUGCGGAGGCAGCUGCGGGACAUCCUGCUGCUGGAGGCCGAGACUGAGUGGCUGAGAUCCACUAGGUCCGGUCUUAGUUUCGCAGCUCCUGAGCAGCAGCCCAGUGAUCCGGAGCUGAGGUCCUGCUCAGAGGAGCCAGACUCCACCUUGAACCAGACCAGACAGCCUCCAGCCAGUCAGACACAUGAGCAGGUGCUGUCGGUCCAGUUACUGUCGGUCCAGAGUGAGACUUCUCUGCCGGGCGACAAGAAGCCAGCUGAGUCCUGGGAGUCGGUGCUGAAGCCUGACCUGCAGCCAGAGGCGUUCAGGAAAGCUUCCCCUCUUCCUUCUCUCUCCACCCUGAACACGUCCUCUGCUGCGGUCCCUAAAAUCCACGUUGAGGUUCCAGCGCUCAGAGAGGAGCCGCGGGCCCCGGCUCCUGCUCGCAUCAAAACUGAACCUGAGGAAUACAAAGUGACUGAACCGGAAGAUCACACAGAGUCUCUGACAGCGAACGCACACACCCGCGUUUCCCUGGAGGAGUCGAGUUUCAGAGCAGAAGCAGACAGAGCGGUGGUGCUGCGUGUUGACCGACAUGAUCACAACAAGAAGAGCUCUCAGGAGACGUCUGAUGACGGCGCAGUCGCCGGUUACGUCCCCGAGCUCGUUCAUCGCUGUCCCCGCUGCGGCGAAGCGUUCGGCCAGGCCAGCAGUCUCCGCCUCCACCUGGAGCAGAAGCGAAAGACCUACGCCUGCGACUGGUGCUGCAAGUCCUUCGCACAGUCGGCUGACCUGCGGCGCCAUCUGCGCACGCACACAGGCGAGCGGCCGCACCGCUGCACCUUCUGCUCCAAGAGCUUCAGCCAGAGAGGAAACCUGCGGCGACACCUGCGCAUCCACACAGGCGAGCGGCCGUACAGCUGCCCGUACUGCUGCCGCACCUUCAGCGACGGAGACACCAUGAAGAAGCACAAACGCACGCACUCAGGAGAGAAGCCGUACCGCUGCGUCCAGUGCUCCAAAACAUUCACCAGCGCCAGCGGCCUGCAGAUCCACCUAAAGAAAGACAUGUGCUUUGUGGCUAAUGCGUGAUUGGACGGGUCAGAAGAGAGAGAGAGAGAGAGGCCGCAGCGAGGUCGAGUCUGCACAGAGAAGAAACAUGUGUUUUAAUGAACAGAUGUGAGUGUUCAGGUGAGGCUGCACCCUUGCAAGCCAGCAGAGGUAAUUGCAGUCAUGACUUAACAAGCAUCACAUCAGUAAAUGGACUGUUGAGCUGCACAUUUACUGUUCUCAAUGAUACUGAAAAUGAACUAAUGAGAAGAGACAUCCUGCUUUGUGACAGACCGGUUUCUGCAAUACUAAAAAUAGAAUAUAUUAUUUAUUUUCUUUUUUUUUUCUAUCCGUGUUAGAAGAGGUUUGUCUGAUCUCACUCCUGGAAGACAUCUGAUUGUAAAUCAUGAUCUGCAGAUUUAUCUGCCGUGAUUCACAGGAAGCAAGAAUAAAUAUUUUGUCAGCUGUGAAGCGUUCAAGCAGACAAACAGUAACAGGAGUGACUGUGUGAAUGUGAGUAGAUCGUCUCUGCAGCCUUAUUUUCUCUGUGUGAUUAUCAGUAUUUUGUAUCGAUGUGAAACAUCUUUGUUUUUUAGGCAAAAUAAAUGUUCAGUGAAACUGUC